ensembl:lncRNA
CCUCUUUCCAGAAGGUUGGAACGCUGGGAAGAUUCCUUCAGAGGCCUGAUCCCCGAGGACCCGUGUCAAGAAGGCUGAGCCCCAGUCAUACUCGGUCCACCAAGCAGGCACCCAUACCAGCUUGAAUUUCGCUGCCCCAAGGAAUUAUUUUGAGGAAGGAGAAAGACAACGUCUGGGACAUCGAGACAUCUCGACCAGCAUCUGGAACACAAUUUUCCUGGAAUAUGAGCUGCCUUGGAGAACAGAUGAAGUUAGAGAUGCUUAACUCUGAGCAGCCUUAUCAGAAUCUGAAACCUCUGCCAGAUGGAAGAAGUGAACGAUGCCGCCCACAAGCAGGAAGACCUGAGACCGGCUGGAACCACAAGGGUGAUUGUGCUGCCCCCCGAGACCUCAUCACGGACCCAAGAGAAGAGCGUCCUCGAGUUGAUCAGGAUCUGCUCCUUGAACACUAUAAGACUCCUCAAAACCCUCCACCAGACACACGGCCUUUUAUUUAUUUUAAUAUUUUAUUUUAUUUAUCUAUUUAUUUGGCUGCCUUGGUUCUCAUUUGCAGAUGCGGGAUAGCCCCUACCUCUGAUGGGAUCUUGCUUGUAGCGCAAAGCCUCACCAGCUGUGGGGCGAAGGCUCAGCUGCUCCUGGGCUGUGAGAUCUUAGAUUCCCCACCAGGAAUCAAACCCACGUCCACUGCAUUUCAAGGUGGACUCUAAACCACUGGACCACCACGGAAGUCCCAGGACACAGUCUUGAGGGCAUUAGCCUGCUUGGUCCCCCGUGUGUGGCAAAGCAGUUAAGUUAGUUUUUCCAUUUCACUUAAAAACUCUCUCUCUCAGAUGAAAUCUGGCCCCAGUACACAGAGGCCCAGUUUUGGCAAGGAGAUCUGCAGGGAAGCCAGGAGCAAUUAGAAGAACAGGGUCCUGGGGGUAGGAGGGCUGAGGGACCUGAGUCCCAGCGGGGUGGAAGGCUGCGAGGUACCAAACGGGACCUUCCAGAGGGGAGCCCUGAGGAGGUGUCCUGUGGGCAGCAGGGGCGGCGCCCGCACAGACGGGCUCCUGAUCUCAGCAGAGGGGCCAGAGGAACCCGGGCGGCCCCGAGAGGAGUCAGGGGCGCAGGGCCCGGGCGCCAGUCUUCAAGGGACAGAAUAGGGUCAGAACAGAGGGAAGGAGAAGCUCUGUGCCACGGAGGAGUCCCCGGAGUUUAAGGAUCACCCCGAGGGGAAGCUUGUGGACCAUGGUGUGGACUCCAAGAAGCUCUGUGCUUCGCAAGGCGGGGCUCCUCAGGAGGCUGGCGGUUCCAACAGUGCCAGAUGCACCUGAGGCCCCUAUUUGCCUCAAGGAGGGAAACUGGGAAUGCAGCCCCGCCCCUCCCCCACCAGAGUUAUUCCUCACCCUGACUUUCCCCUCCCAUCCCUCAGGGCAGUGCCCCUCUCUCCACCCCCUGCCCCCUAAACUCAUCCCCCAUCCCCGGCUUUUCUAGAUUCCGCUGGGCUCUGCACAGUCCUAGGCCUGCCCCAUCCUCGAUUCUCUGCCCCUCCCCGCUCUCCAGGUUCUAGAUUUCAGACACGCUGGGACCUGGGCUGCAGUGCUUCCGCGUGGACACACAUCUUCCCGAGCCACAGACAACAAGGAAACGACAAGGGACUCAAUAUACUUCUACAUACCUGAACAGCUUGGGCAAACGAUGCACGAGAUAAAAAAAGAAAAAAGAUCAAAACUCCAGUCACCCCUUCAGAGCUGGAGAGCAAAGAUGGGGUCUUGGACGUGAUGCCUGCACAGAGCAUCACCAAGAGGCUGGGCAGACCUGGCAGUCAGUCCUCCAGCCCAAUGCUGGACCCAGCCUGCCCUCACCCCACUUAAUGGACCAGAUUUCCCACACGCGCCCCGACACCUCCUUAUCCCCCAGAAGCAGACAAGGCAACUUGUCACCUGUUUGACUCCCUUCCUGAUGCAGCCAGAGCUCCAAUAAAACCUUGUCUGAAU